AGGCGCGUAGCUCAGCUGGUUAGAGCACCACCUUGACAUGGUGGGGGUCGUUGGUUCGAGUCCUAUGGCUUUUGCCA
rnacentral:tRNA from 1 species